UGUGAAACUUGGCUGAAAUAAUCAAGAUUAAAGAAAGAAAAAAAGAAAACAAUUAACCGAGUAUAAAGAAUAUUCUACAAUAUUGAGUUUCGCUAUAUUCAAUAAGAAUAACAAAAAGGGGGAGAAAAAGAAAAACCCUACGAAUUGAAUCAGUAAGGAAGCAGAGUUUCGAAACAAUAAAUCCCAUCAAGCUCCGGUGCGAGCCUCGGCGCUCUAAUUCUCCGGCGAUCUUCCGGCUUCUUCGUCGUCGGCAGCGAAGAGGAAUUGACGACGGUUUCAGCGGCAGCCGCGCCGUGCUUGUUAGUAUUGGGAGGCGGCGGAGCACAAGAAAAGCCGGCGACUUUCUGGCCGAAAUAAUAGUCGGCGGAAAGUGCUUCGAACGGGCUGAAAAUCGACGUCGACAUAUCUAUUGAAUUCGAAAAAUCAGAAGAAUUU
rnacentral:lncRNA from 1 species